rnacentral:rRNA from 1 species
UUUUCACCGGACUGUUCCACCGAAAAGAGUGGCAACGGUGAUAACUGGUACUGUCCUCAGAGGGGAUAAACUGAACCGGUCUAUUCGGUAACCAUCGACGCCAUGUUUGAAUGGAGGCGCUUCGGGUCCGUGAUGAUGAACCGCGGUGCAUAGCUAGUGUGAGGUACGCCACCAGCACGAUGCAUAGCGACUGAGAGGGUGAUCGCACAUUGGACUGAGACACGCCCAAACUCUACGGGAGGCAGCAGUAGGGAAUCUCGCAAUGACGAAAGUCUGACCGAGCAACGCCGCGUGAGUGAAGAAGUUUUCGGAUCGUAAACUCUGUUGUUAGAGAAGAACAAGGAUGAGAGUAACUGUUCAUCCCUUGACGGUAUCUAACCAGAAAGCCACGGCUAACUACGUGCCAGCAGCCGCGGUAAUACGUAGGUGGCAAGCGUUGUCCGGAUUUAUUGGGCGUAAAGCGAGCGCAGGCGGUUUCUUAAGUCUGAUGUGAAAGCCCCCGGCUCAACCGGGGAGGGUCAUUGGAAACUGGGAGACUUGAGUGCAGAAGAGGAGAGUGGAAUUCCAUGUGUAGCGGUGAAAUGCGUAGAUAUAUGGAGGAACACCAGUGGCGAAGGCGGCUCUCUGGUCUGUAACUGACGCUGAGGCUCGAAAGCGUGGGGAGCAAACAGGAUUAGAUACCCUGGUAGUCCACGCCGUAAACGAUGAGUGCUAAGUGUUGGAGGGUUUCCGCCCUUCAGUGCUGCAGCUAACGCAUUAAGCACUCCGCCUGGGGAGUACGACCGCAAGGUUGAAACUCAAAGGAAUUGACGGGGGCCCGCACAAGCGGUGGAGCAUGUGGUUUAAUUCGAAGCAACGCGAAGAACCUUACCAGGUCUUGACAUCCUUUGACCACUCUAGAGAUAGAGCUUCCCCUUCGGGGGCAAAGUGACAGGUGGUGCAUGGUUGUCGUCAGCUCGUGUCGUGAGAUGUUGGGUUAAGUCCCGCAACGAGCGCAACCCUUAUUGUUAGUUGCCAUCAUUCAGUUGGGCACUCUAGCAAGACUGCCGGUGACAAACCGGAGGAAGGUGGGGAUGACGUCAAAUCAUCAUGCCCCUUAUGACCUGGGCUACACACGUGCUACAAUGGGAAGUACAACGAGUUGCGAAGUCGCGAGGCUAAGCUAAUCUCUUAAAGCUUCUCUCAGUUCGGAUUGCAGGCUGCAACUCGCCUGCAUGAAGCCGGAAUCGCUAGUAAUCGCGGAUCAGCACGCCGCGGGGAAUACGUUCCCGGGCCUUGUACACACCGCCCGUCUACACCGACGAGAGUUUGUAACACCCGAAGUCGGUGAGGUAACCUUUGGAGCCAGCCGCCUAAGGAUGGAAUA